rnacentral:ncRNA from 1 species
AUGUGGACAGAUUUGACUGCUUGCAACCACAUGAAAAAAUGCUAAAAACGUA